CUGACUUGGAGAAUGCCUGUCACUCCUGUGUUUGAAUUGGCAUCCCUGUUUCACUGUCAGUUGACCUAAUCUGUUAAGACUUUAUUUACUUAUGAGUUGUUAAUGUUGUGGUGUUUAUCCAAAUACCUACUUGUAGAACACUGCAUGGACUUAUUAAAUCUUGAAAUUUUUCAUAUAUUCAAUAAGAGUCUUCAUAAAUUUUUUUUCUCUGAAAUUAGAAAGAGACUCCUUCAAAUCCAGUGGCCACAGUGAAAGCGGGAGAGCAACAAUGGUGUGAUGUGGGAAUUUUUAAAAAUAAUACAGCUUUGGUGAGCCAGUUUUAUUUGCUGCCAAAAGGGAAGCAAAGCAUCUCAAAGGUAGGAAAUGCAGAUGUACCUGACUACAGCUUGCUUAAGAAACAAGAUCUUGUUCCAGGCACAGGAUACAGAUUCAGGGUUGCUGCAAUCAAUGGUUGUGGGAUAGGUCCUUUCAGCAAAAUCAGUGAAUUUAAAACUUGUAUUCCUGGUUUUCCUGGAGCUCCUUCUGCAGUCAGAAUUUCAAAGAAUGUUGAAGGUAUCCACCUUUCCUGGGAACCUCCAACCUCACCUUCUGGAAAUAUUUUGGAAUAUUCAGCCUACUUGGCUAUCCGCACAGCACAGAUACAAGAUAAUCCAAGUCAACUUGUGUUCAUGAGGAUUUAUUGUGGUCUUAAGACAUCAUGUAUAGUAACUGCUGGGCAACUUGCAAAUGCACAUAUUGAUUAUACAUCCAGGCCUGCCAUUGUGUUCAGGAUAUCAGCAAAGAAUGAAAAGGGAUAUGGACCAGCUACACAAGUUCGGUGGCUUCAAGGUAACAAUAAGAAAGCACCUUUAAAUUGAAUUGGUUUUUUUACUGAAGCUAUUGUGAUGAUGAUUAUUUAUUAGUAACUGGUUAUGAAGAUUUGUCAUUUAAAAGAGUAUUCUCUGGCUGUGUCUCCAGCAGUUAUGAACUUGAGUUUGUAAAUUGUUCUUAA
rnacentral:sRNA from 1 species